ensembl:lncRNA
UUCUUGCAGUUUGAAUUUAUGGGACUGUCCUAUAGGACUUCCAUGAGUAAAUGGAAUGUAAUAUUUUGUUAGUGGCAGUGCUGCCUUCCUGCAUAAGAGAAAACGGUGGUCCAUGUUUGGGAUGCAAAGAGCAUAGAUUUAAGAUUCAGGCAGACCUCAUUUGAAUCUCAGCUCUGCUGCUCCUCAGCCUUGUGAUUUUCGAUUUGGACAUAUUUUAAACUGAGCUGCAGUUUCUUCAUGUUUAAAAUUGGUAUCAUAAUAAUAAUUCCUGGCUUACAAUUAUAAUUUUUAUGAUUAUGUAGGCAAAGCUUCUAGCACAAUGCCCAGAACAGAAUGGGCACUUCAUAAAUAUUUCUACCCUUCUUCAAUCUGCUUUUUACCAUAGCUCUAAACGAGGAGGAAAAAGUGAGAAAAUCAAUGCAGAUACUUUCUAGAAAAAGUGGCUAGCAUGGAUUCACUUUAUAGGCACAAGCUUUAAGGAAUUAAACCCAAAAUUCAGUGUGCCUGCUUAUUGUCGAAAUUAUGAAUCCAAGGCUAUUUAACCAGAAUUUCAGAUGUUCUAAAAAAAAAAGAUUCAUCUGCAUUUUGUUUCCUAAAAAAUACUUUCCGUGGCUGCCAUAAAAUGUCCAUUCAUUUAUAUUUUAUGUGGGAUUUUAUUCUCAGGUGAUGUCUUGGUGUUUCUAUGACCCAAGUAAGGAGUCCCUGUGACUUUAUCACACUGUUUCUUCCAGACACAGCUGGAAAUAUGAUUGUCUAAGGGUCCGUCCCAAAGGAGCUGGGCCUCUGCUCUGGGUCAGCAGCAACAAGGAGUGUUGCCAAGAUACGAAACAAAACACAAGCACCCUAGGUCUCCCUCUGGGUUUCUGGAGCAGCUGUCUCUAGCUCAGCUGUUGAAAUUUCAGUUCCUUCAUUGAAAUUCCAACACAUCUGUCCCCCAGACAGGAACAUGCUUAAUAAAAUGACUUCCUCCAUGCUGGCUAGUCUUGUGGUUUUAUUCAGCUCUUAAAGACAGUGUGGGGGCUGAGUACCACAAAGAAAGAAGCCUCUCCAGGGAUGGAGGCAAAUCCUAGUGAUGGGUUACUGAGGCAGAAAAGUGCCAGCCAGCGUUGACACCUGGCAGGCACCAUCAGGGUAUUCACAACUUGGUUUGGCCUUGAAACAUCCCAUGAGCCCAGACAAAUUCAGGUCUCAUUUUCGCUUGAUCCUCACGUGGGCAACCUGUUUGCUUUCUCUCUCAUUCUUCCAGCUGUUCCUUGGCAAAAUCCUUUUCAUCUAUUUAAUUUUAGAGCACAACAGAGAAAUGUAUCCCUUUACGCAGAUGUCAGUCAUGUGCCUUUAAAUAUCACUUUUGUAUCAUGACUUUCUGUUUUAGAAAAUAUGGUUUCAAACCAAAAUUUGUUCUUUUUUUAAAGGAGUGGUUGUAGUGUCAAGCCAAACUUAACUCACGUCCUAGGUGGUGGAGGUCAAAAAGAAGUUCUCCCCCAUAAUUUUUUAGGAUUAGAGUGUCCCUGCAGGGGACAGGACAAGAAUCUUCCCAGGAUAAGGGAGACCCAGGUUCUGUGUCUGUAGAAUGGAAUGCCCUAAUAGGGUAGCUCCUCCUUUCCCAGCCUUGUUCCCUAGCAACGCAAACCCCAUGGUGCAGAGUGCCACCGACCCCUAACCUUGAGGUGCCUCUUGGAUGUCAGUGCUCUGGAAUUAUUGCAACAGCCUCUGAUCCUCCUAUAUCCCCUUUUAAAGAAUAAAUAAGCAAAUACAUAAAUAAAUAUAUUUGUUUCUCUCAUUCAUUCAUUAUUUCUAGUAACCAAAUGGCUGUAGUUAACCAUGUCCUGUUCUUUCAGGACUAAACAUGGUUAGCCAUUCAUUUUAAUAUCUAAUUCUGUAUUCUAAAUAGAAUGCUACCUCUAUUCACUUCCUAUCAUAGAUAAUGAUUUCUCUCUUAUAUCCCUUUUUCCUUCCUUCAUCCUUCCAAUUUGUUAUAUUAUGAUUUUCAGUGUUUGCAUUAUUCUAACAAUGGAAUAUUCACUGUUGAGCCAAGGAGCCUGUUAUUAUUAUGUUUCCUUUCUUAUUCAAUUAUUUUUCCUAGAGCUGAUAAUUUGCUCAUUUUUUAAAAAAUGUUUUCUCUGUACAUACUGUUGUCUUCCCAGCCUCUCCCACAGCCAUAAUCUUCAAAGCACUGUUUUUAGCAUAUUAAGUAUAGUAAUGUAUUUAAUUUUCAAAAUAACUCCAUGAGGUAGGUACAUAUGAUCUGCAUCUUAUAGAUGGGAAACCGGAAGCAUAGAGGUUAAUUCACUUGCAUCAAAUCAUAAGUGGCAGAGGCGGGAUUUGAGCCCAGGCAGUCUGGCUCCUGCGUCCGUACUCCCAAGCUCCAGCAAUACAGCGCUUGAUAUAACUUUCUACACAAGCAAAUCUACCAGAACAAAGUCAGUGGAUUUUUUUUAUAGGGCUCUCUCUCUUGUUUAUCCUUGUCCUCUAGUUUCAUCUGAAUUGUUUGUUUUCUACACCAGUGCCCACUUGUCAUAUGAGGACUGACUUUCACUUCUACCCAGGGAAUUUCCUUCAUCUCCCUCCUGUGUUGAUUCCUUGCUUUCUGGAUCCCAUUGCUUCUUUCUUGGUUUACCCUCAUUGCUUUAGGUGGAGCCAUCCUUUAGAAGACUUCCUGAGAAAAGGUGCAGGGGAGGCAAAUACUUUUUAGAUCUUAAAUAUCAGAAAACCUUUGUGUUCUAUCUUGAUAGCACUGGGUAAUAGCAUUCACUGCCAUUCUUAUUCUUGGCCAUUUAUAUGUGACCUGUUUUUUUCCCUUUCUUCAAACUUUUACUGUCUUCCUGGUGUUCUAAAAUUUUACAACGGUGGUGAGUCUUUUCUCAUGUAUUGUGCUGGAUGCUCAGCAGGCCUUUGCAGUCUGGACGCUCAGGUUCUUCAGGGCCAGAAAAUGUUCCUUUAAUACUUCUCUUGACAUUUUUCUAUUCUGGACCCUAUUGGUAAGAUGGUGGGCCUCCUGGAUUGACCUCCUAGUUUUCUCUUUUCUCUCCAAUUUUUAAAAAAUAUUGAGAUAAUUCCUUAACUUUAUUUUCCAAAUCUUUUACAAACAUAUAUAUAUAAUAUAAAAAAUAUAUAUUUAUAUAUAUAAUUUAUAAUCUCUAUAUAGAUUUACAAAUAUAUAUGUAAUUUUAGCUAUCAUUUAAAUUAAGAACCCUUUCUUAUCCUAAUAAUAACCUCUGCUUAUUUUUUCUUAAUAGCAUCCCCACCUUGUUUUAAGGAUAGUUUCUCUUAUCUCUCUGAACUCAUCAAAUGUAGCUUCAUUGAAGUUUCCUUCUUUUUAGUGUGUUGCCUCUGUUUCUUUUGAGUUUCCUUUCUUGUUUUGAUGUCUCUUUUAUGUUAGAGUCUUUCUUCAAAUGUCAAGUAAUCCUUGGCUUUCUCUUCAUAUUUGAAAAGUUCGGUUAAAUAAAACACUGCUUGGAAGCUCUGUGUGCUUGGACGUGGCCUUGUCAACUGUAAAGUGCGCUGGAGAAUAACUGGGUGGAGAGCUGGCUUUUUCACUGGGAGACUCCUAAAUGCCAGGACCUACCGAUUUUUCUCUAGGCACACCAGUUGCAGGUCCUUCCAGUCAUAGCAUGUGGGAUGCCGCCUCAACGUGGCCUGACGAGUGGUGCCAUGCCUGCACCCAGGAUCUGAACCAGCGAAACCCUGGGCCGCUGCAGUGGAGUGCAUGAACUUAACCACUCAGCCACAGAGCUGGCCCUAGAAGCUGUCUGAUCUUAAGCAAGCCCUUAACACUCUAAGCUUCAAUUUUCUUGCCUGCCCAGUUUUGCUGGGAACAGGAAAAAAACCUAAAACAACCAACUCACUCUCUCUCUCCUUCUCUAUUUCAAAUAAUAUGAAAAUUCACUUCACAGGGAUUAAAUGAACUCAGAAAUCAUCCAGUUAGAUGGAUUAAAUGAAGGCAUGAAUAUGAAGACAUUUUGCUGAGUGUAAAAAUGCAUUACAGAUAUAAGGGACUAAAUGUAAACGAUUGCUCACCUUACUCAGGUCCUAAUGUUCUACAUAUACAGCCAUCAGUAAUUGUUGUGAUUGGUUCAUUUAUUUAUUUUUGGUGAGGAAGAUUGGCCCUGAGAUAACAUCUGUUGCCAAUCUUCCUCUCCUUUUUUUUUCCUCCCCAAAGCCCCAGCACAUAGUUGUGUCUUCUAGUUGUAGGUCAUUCUAGUUCCUCUAUGUGGGACACUGCCACACAUGGCUUGGUGAACAGUGCAUGGGUCCAAGCCCAGGAUCCGAACCGGUGAACGCCAAGCAGUCGAAGUGGAGUACGCAAACUUAACUGCUUGGCCACGGGGCCAGACCCUGUUGUUAUGUUCUUUAAAGUCCCUGUUAUAUGCCAAACUCUCAGAACAACUGUCUUCUUAUCCAGUAUACUUCUGAGUAAUGACUUUAAUUAUUCUUUUUAAUAAAACUGUUACGUUCACUGUAAUCAAUCCAAGUGGUAUUGGUUACCAAAGUAAAAACUGAAAGUUCCCUUUCACCUCAAACCCCACAAAUGUAAUCCCCAGACAUAAGCAGUUAGCAUUAACUUUCUAUUUUUAGUUACUACUACUACUAAUAGUUAACAUAAUAAUAGUUUAGUACUUGGCUGUGGGUCUGAUGAUGUUUUAAACGCUUUAUGUAUUAACACAUUUUGCUGCUCACAAUAACCCUCUGGCUCAAGUAUUACUGCUAUCCUUGUUUUAUAUAUGAGCAAACUGAGGCACAGAGAUGGAAAGCUACUUGCCCAGUGUCACACAGCUAGACAUAGGCAUUUGAGCUCAGGUAGUCUGGCUCCAAAGUUCAUGCUGUUAGUCUAUAAACUACAUAUCUCAGACACCUUUCUAUGUGAGUAUACAGAGCUCUCCUGCAUAGCUUUAGUACCUAGGGAACAUUUUAUUCUAUGAUGUAUAUUUAUCAGCUCCCAUUGAUGAGAAUUUUAAUCGCUUCCAGAUUUUUCGUUUUUAAACAUAAACUGUAAAAAAUUAAAAAUUAAGCUGCCAUCGACAACCUAGUGCUUUUGUGUGAGUCUGUCUAAGGCAUAAAUUUCUAGAAGUGGAGAGCUGAAACAAAGGAUGUGUACACUAAACUUCUUGAGUGAUACCACCGAAUUGCCUCCCAUAAUGAAUAGUCAUUUUCAUCUGGAGUCUAUAAACCACCAGAAUCACCGAGAAAAUUAUUUUUAUGUGCCUCUGUCUUUUUCUCUGUUUUUAAAAUCUGAUUGCUCUGUUGUUUGACGAGGAAUUCGACCACAUGGUAAGCACAACGUUUUGGGAAAGCUCCUCAUAUUCCUGUGAUGUCUCUGCCCCUGGGCAUGGGGUGAGCAGGCAUCUGGUGAUCUCUCUGCUUGUGCUGCCUGGUACCCGGAGGCUCCGGGAGAAUUGCUGUGAGGCUGUUCACCUUGGCUCAGCCUGAGAGCUACUCUGACAGAUUUAUUGGCUCGUCAACAUUUAUCUGAGCAGAACCUCUAAACCAAUAUACGCUUUCACUCAUUUGCACUCCAGGGAGAAAGAGAGAGAUGAGAACUGUGAGGUGUGAAACUCCACAGAGAUGUAGCUCCGCCUUUCACCCCAUCCUUGCAAACUUCUUAAGAAAUGGAAUUCAUUAUUGCGUUCCAAUUUCAGUCUCUCUUUUUCUUUUUUAAAACAUUGGUUGCCAAUCUUCUUUUCUUCUUCUUCUCCCCAAAGCCCCCCAGUACCUAGUUGUGUAUUUUAGUUGUGGGUCCUUCUAGGUGUUGCAUGUGGGACACCGCCUCAGCAUGGCCUGAUGAGCAGUGCCAUGUCUGCGCCCAGGAUCCAAACCAGCGAAACCCUGGGCAGCUGAAGUGGAGGGCGCGAACUUAACCACUUGGCCACGGGCCAGCCCCAGGUCUCUCUUUUUUUAACCAGGGUUUUUCUCAGUCCAUUGGUAUGUGAAGAAUACAUUGAUGAAAGGAAAUUAACAAGAUCACUCAAUCAACUACUACUUCACUUAUUUAUUGUUUGUUUUGUAAGGGAAAAUAUGAAUAAGAUACGGAAACUGCCUCCAAGAAACUUGCAAUCUUCUUCAGCUUUGUAGGAAUGGAGGAUGGAGAAAAUGUCUUGAAUUUAAAUGGGAGAGAAUUUAGAGCAGUAAGGAAGAACACAUAAGGAAAAUCAGUACUCAUAUUCUCCCUAUUUUCUUCAUGAGAAAAUAAAGCUUAGAGAGGUAAACGACUUAGCAUAGGCUACUCAGAAAGUGGCGAUGUCACAGUUCAAACUCUGGUUCCAGUUUCAAAGGUCGUGUAUUCUCUAUUGUACCUGUUGGUGGUGUCGAAACCUGACUGAUGCAGGUUUCUCGUCCCAUCUACUUAGCCUAUUGACACCCUUCUACGUACAGGCACAUAGAAAUGCUGGAUAAAAUAUAACAAAACUAUUUUAUAUACAUAACCGAGGAAGAAAGUGAGAGAGAGGGAGGGAGAGAGAGAGAGAGAAAAAGUUCCUAUGUGUCAAAACUAAAGAAGAACCUCAUAACCAAUGUGGUAAGUUCAUGAGCUGAUGUCAGAACAGAACAGAGGACAACAGACAUGGCUAUAGGGCCUAACAGCUGGGAGCUGGGAUUUUUAACACGUCUGGGAAUAAAAGAAUUGCUCUUGGGCCUGUGAAAGGUGAAAGGUUGGAACUGAAAUUCAUGCAUAAAGCUGGGACUGAGGAAGAGCUGCUCCCACCACGUAAGGGAACUAUAAAACAUCGUUCACAUCCUACGAAAGCAACUGGCAAUAUUCUUACCGAUUAGAUAUCUGGAUGGGACAAGCUCCCCCACAAUAAAUGGGAAUGUAAAAAUCUGUGUUAAGCAUAGGUAUAGAAUCCAAAUUUUACACUAUUUCCAUAGAACAGGAAUCCUAAAUGGCGAUAUUAAUGUAGAUACUGUAAAUAUUUCAGACCUGUGAAACUCUUGGCAUUUCCGGAAGAAUCAAAAGUAAGACCUCUCCGAAAGGUGACACCCACAUCUUAAAGUGUGCAGGAUUCCACAGGGAAAACAUAUCCUAGCUGAAAAUAUGCUCACAAUUAAAAGUACAAAUUAAACAAGGAAGUGGUCCACAAUCUGGGAGAGUCAGCAGAUACUGUAGGAGGAGUAGCAUGACAAGACCCCGAGAGAAUAAAAUAGUCUAAAGCUGUCUGUAAAUUAAGUAUAUUUACAGUCAUGAAAGAGAGAAAGGGAGAAAUAAAAACUUUUAUGAAAGAACAGGGCACUAAAGAAGAACAGGCACAUAUGAAAAACAACCUAAUAGAACAAUUCACAGCAAAAAGCCAGAAACAAAAUUAAACACCACAGCCAAUUUUAAGAGCAGAUUGGCAGUUAAAGAGAGAAUUGAUGACAUGAAAGAUACAUCUGAGGAAAUUACCUGGAGCACUGGAGAGAGAGAGAGAGAGAGAGGUGUGAAAGCCAAGGAGAAUGAAUAAAAGCCAUGAAACUUCAGAAGACAAAUCUGGCUGAUCAUCAGAAUCACCUGAGCAGCAUAUUAAAAUACAACAUGAUGGUUUUACCCCAGAUGUUCUGGAUGGUGUUCAGGGAUAUGCAUUUAAAGAAAGCUUCUGGUUCAUCAGUCUCUAGGGAGUCCAUGCUAAAUGGUGCCAGAAGAUGAUCCCAAGAGAAGGUGGCAAAGGAGUUAGUACGAACACCUGUAACCUCACAGUACCAUUUCCAUUUGUCUUCUCCAACAUCUGUGAUUAACAUCAGAUGACACAUCAUCCUGCCUUCUACUCCAGAAUCCUGGUGGGUUUGAUGAGAAGAAUGCAUGGCCAACGGUUGAGAGUAUUUGGCAAGGCAGGAUUCCUGUCUUACUUCAUAUUUCAUACUAAAUACAAAAAGACACCAUAACUCACCAGUACCAGAAAUUCAGUCUACUUGGUUUAUAUGGACAUCUGUUCUCAGAUUACUGGUGGUUUAUCUAACUGCUAUAAUAAAGGUUAAUUCUACAUUAAGGUGGUACUGAGUAUAAUUAGAAUUUUUAUAAUAGCCAUACUUUUUGAACUAGUAGCACCACUUCUAGCAAUUUACCUAUAUACCUCAAAUACAAAAAACCUUUAUACUCAAAGAUGUUCAUUCCUGCGUUUCAUACAUAUGGGUAAAAACUUGGAAGUCUCCAGAAGGGACGGAGGGCAGUGAGAUUUUGGCACAUUGUUCCAGACACAUGUAGUAAUGUCUCUGACUUUUUGGCUUGAACUCCUUACACAUAUACUUUGCUUUUCCUCUUUCGAUAGAGAAUGCUUAGAUAAAUAACGGCAUAUCCACGUGACAGAAUCAUGCCAGUAUAAAAAUUGUUUUGAACAGGCAGUUCAAAAAAGAAUAAAAAUGUACCAUAAACACAAAUAUUUAACCUCAUAAGUAAUAAAGGGAUAAUAAAAUUCCAUUUUCUACAAAUUUUAACCAAUAUUUUUAAAAAUUGAUAAUGCCUCGUGUUGGUGAAAUUGUGGAGAAAUGGGCACCACUUUGCUGUUGGCAGUAUAUGCUGGUACAUAAAUUCUGGAUAGAAAUUUGGUGAUACGUAGCCAAAGUCUUAAAAAUUCACGUAGAUUUUGUUGUUGGUCAUCAAUUUCAUGUAAAGAAUAUAUACUUUUAAAAACGUAAAGAAUGCUACACUUGUUCAAUUUAUGAAAAUUUGGGAAUUUAAGUGUCCCAAAAUAGGAAUUAUUUAAAUAAAUUUUGGUGCUAUACUAAUGGAAUACAGUUAGGAAAGAUAUUCGUAAUACAUAGGUAAUCAUUUAAAAAUUGCAAAAUG